UCGGAGAGGGCGCCUGAGAAAUGGCUACCACAUCUAAGGAAGGCAGCAGGCGCGUAAAUUGCCCAAUCCUAAUUCAGGGAGGUAGUGACAAGAAAUAACAACUCGGACCUCACACGAGGUUACGGGAUUGCAAUGAGAACAAUUUAAACCACUUAUCGAGUAACAAUUGGAGGGCAAGUCUGGUGUCAGCAGCCGCGGUAAUUCCAGCUCCAAUAGCGUAUAUUAAAGUUGUUGCAGUUAAAAAGCUCGUAGUUGAAUUUCUGGCCGGUCCUGUUUUGGCUCUAUGGGUCGCUUCAGGACCUGGUCAUCCGUAUGGGAAGCUAGCUCGGCCUUCACUGGUCGGCUAGUGGAUCAUACACUUUACUUUGAAAAAAUUAGAGUGUUUCAGGCAGGCAAUUGCUUGGAUACUUCAGCAUGGAAUAAUGGAAUAGGACUUUGACCUAUUUGUUGGUUUCUUGAGGUCAAAGUAAUGAUUAAUAGGGACAGUUGGGGGCAUUCGUAUUUAAUUGUCAGAGGUGAAAUUCUUGGAUUUAUUAAAGACGAACUUAUGCGAAAGCAUUUGCCAAGGAUGUUUUCAUUAAUCAAGAACGAAAGUUAGGGGAUCAAAGACGAUCAGAUACCGUCCUAGUCUUAACCAUAAACUAUACCGACUAGGGAUUGGUGAGGUCUUCUAAGCCUCAUCAGCACCUUAUGAGAAAUCAAAGUCUUUGGGUUCUGGGGGGAGUAUGGUCGCAAGGCUGAAACUUAAAGGAAUUGACGGAAGGGCACCACCAGGAGUGGAGCCUGCGGCUUAAUUUGACUCAACACGGGGAAACUCACCAGGUCCAGACACAUUAAGGAUUGACAGAUUGAGAGCUCUUUCUUGAUUAUGUGGGUGGUGGUGCAUGGCCGUUCUUAGUUGGUGGAGUGAUUUGUCUGCUUAAUUGCGAUAACGAACGAGACCUUAACCUGCUAAAUAGUCAGGCCCGCUUUGGCGGGUCGCAGGCUUCUUAGAGGGACUAUCGGCUUCAAGCCGAUGGAAGUUUGAGGCAAUAACAGGUCUGUGAUGCCCUUAGAUGUCCUGGGCCGCACGCGCGCUACACUGACACAUGCAACAAGUUUAUUUUUCCUGACUCGGAAGGGUUCGGGUAAUCUUGGUUAAUGUGUGUCGUGCUAGGGAUAGAUCUUUGGAAUUAUAGAUCUUGAACGAGGAAUUCCUAGUAAGCAUAAGUCAUCAGCUUGUGCUGAUUACGUCCCUGCCCUUGUACACACCGCCC
rnacentral:rRNA from 1 species